rnacentral:rRNA from 1 species
GGAGUAUGGACCGUGUCUCAGUUCCAUUGUGGGGGACCUUCCUCUCAGAACCCCUACCCAUCGUCGCCUCGGUGGGCCAUUACCCCGCCAACUACCUAAUAAUACGCAUGCCCAUCCCGCACCAAUGAAUCUUUACACACAAAGGGAUGCCCCCUCGUGUGACUAUGGGAUAUUAGCAGCCGUUUCCAGCUGUUUUGUCCCGGUGCGGGGCAGGUUGCAUACGCGUUACGCACCCGUGCGCCACUCGUGUACCCUCCGUAUUGCUACUUCGGGCCUUACCGUUCGACUUGCAUGUAUUAAGCCUGCCGCCAGCGUUCAUC